rnacentral:tRNA from 1 species
GAAGGUAUAGCUCAGUGGUAGGGCGCGUGCUUAGCAUGCAUGAGGUCCUGGGUUCAAUCCCCAAUCCCUCCA